CAGUUAUUUUAAUUUAAAGCAAGCAGAAACACACAAGAAAGACAAACAUUGCAAGGUGAGACAACUAUUACUGCAGGGCUGAAUGUUUACUGGUAUGGAAGAACAAUGCUAGGAAAUGCAAACUUAGAUCAAUAGAUAAAUAAAUAAAUAGUAUAUAUAUAUAUAUAUAUAUAUAUAUAUAUAUAUAUAUAUAUAUAUAUAUAUAUAUAUAUAUAUAUAUAUAUAUAAUAAGAGAGUUUAAAGAUUUACUAUAACAAGUAUUUUCACUUCACACUCAGUGUUUGCGGUCUUCAAAGUCACAUAAGAGGUUUAUUCACAAUCAAAUCAAUGGUAUCUAUGAUUCCCUUUUUGCUUGUCUGUGAAUACACUCACUGCUGGUUCUUAUCUCUUCCCCAAGGUCACAAACUCUAAUACUGGAAAUUCACAUUUGCCUCAAUGUAAUAUUACUGGGACUACAAGUGUCAUGCUGAGGAGCCACCAUCCACAGGCAAUGGCGGCUUUCAGGAUGACAGCCUCAGACUUGAUAUAGAGGGAACGCCCCAGCAGGAACGCGAGGGCAUCUUCCGAGAGGCAGCACACCUGUGGAGAGGCGAGCACUUGGUCCGCGCAGGCAUUUGGUGACAAGGAGCGUGUUUUUCAGGAUGUAGGCAGCAUUGUACACCUCCAGCACCGUGUCCCUCUCCAGGAUGUCAUCCAGCCACUGAUAGGGAACAUCAAAAUACUACAUUAUAUACAUAAAAAAUAAUAAUAAAUAAAUAAACAAAUAAAACAUG